rnacentral:tRNA from 1 species
GCCUCGCUAGCUCAAUUGGUUAGAGCACCCGCCUUCUACGAUUAAUUCAGGUGAUAGCGGGAGGUUGCGGGUUCGACCCCCGCGUGGGGCU